CAGCGACGCCGCGUGAGUGAGGAAGGCCUUCGGGUCGUAAAGCUCUGUCAGAAGGGAGAAGUGUUAUACGGUUAACACCCGUAUAAUUUGACGGUACCUUCAGAGGAAGCACCGGCUAACUCCGUGCCAGCAGCCGCGGUAAUACGGAGGGUGCUAGCGUUGUUCGGAAUUACUGGGCGUAAAGGGCGCGUAGGCGGCUGGAUAAGUCAGAUGUGAAAGUCCACGGCUCAACUGUGGAAGUGCAUUUGAAACUGUCCGGCUUGAGUAUCGGAGGGGAGUGUGGAAUUCCCGGUGUAGAGGUGAAAUUCGUAGAGAUCGGGAGGAACACCGGUGGCGAAGGCGACACUCUGGACGAAUACUGACGCUGAGGCGCGAAAGCGUGGGGAGCAAACAGGAUUAGAUACCCUGGUAGUCCACGCCGUAAACGAUGUGAACUAGAGGUAGGUGGUGUUGAUCCCACCUGUCUCGCAGCUAACGCAUUAAGUUUACCGCCUGGGGAGUACGGUCGCAAGAUUA
rnacentral:rRNA from 1 species